GAUGUGCAGCAAUGUGAAAGAUUUAUUGCCUAGAGAUGAGCUCGCGUCUGAUUAGCUAGUAGGUGUGGUAAUGGCGCACCUAGGCGACGAUCAGUAACUGGUCUGAGAGGAUGACCAGUCACACUGGGACUGAGACACGGNCCAGACUCCUACGGGAGGCAGCAGUGGGGAAUUUUCCGCAAUGGGCGAAAGCCUGACGGAGCAAUACCGCGUGAGGGAGGAAGGCUCUUGGGUUGUAAACCUCUUUUCUCUGGGAAGAACAAAAUGACGGUACCAGAGGAAUCAGCAUCGGCUAACUCCGUGCCAGCAGCCGCGGUAAGACGGAGGACGCAAGCGUUAUCCGGAAUGAUUGGGCGUAAAGCGUCCGCAGGUGGCAAUUCAAGUCUGCUGUUAAAGCGCAGGGCUUAACCCUGUAAAGGCAGUGGAAACUGAAUAGCUAGAGUGUGGUAGGGGCAGAGGGAAUUCCCAGUGUAGCGGUGAAAUGCGUAGAUUUUGGGAAGAACACCAGCGGCGAAGGCGCGC
rnacentral:rRNA from 1 species